GACGAACGCUGGCGGCGUGCUUAACACAUGCAAGUCGAACGGUAAGGCCCUUCGGGGUACACGAGUGGCGAACGGGUGAGUAACACGUGGGUGACCUGCCCUGCACUUCGGGAUAAGCCUGGGAAACUGGGUCUAAUACCGGAUAGGACCCUGGGAUGCAUGUCCUGGGGUGGAAAGCUUUUGCGGUGUGGGAUGGGCCCGCGGCCUAUCAGCUUGUUGGUGGGGUGAUGGCCUACCAAGGCGACGACGGGUAGCCGGCCUGGGAGGGUGACCGGCCACACUGGGACUGGGAUACGGCACAGACUCCGACGGGAGGCAGCAGGGGGGAAUAGUGCACAAUGGGCGCAAGCCUGAUGCAGCGACGCCGCGUGAGGGAUAACGGCCUUCGGGUUGUAAACCUCUUUCAGCACCGACGAAGCGCAAGUGACGGUAGGUGCAGAAGAAGGACCGGCCAACUACGUGCCAGCAGCCGCAGUAA
rnacentral:rRNA from 1 species